rnacentral:misc_RNA from 1 species
GAUUUGUAGAUGAAGGCAUAUAAAACAGAGCAGUCAUGGUGGAAACUGACAAGAGGGAAGACAGAGUCUUGGACUGUUAUUGGUAAUCUGGUCUAUAAUCAGAGAUUUGCCAUAUUUAUUGGCAUGAAAAUGGCCUUGGGAUUCGAAUUGGGUGGGCUCGCUUUUUACUACCCAACAAUUUUCCCUUCCCCAUAUCAUCCUUCCCGUCAUCUGCCACAUAAAGCCGCUGUGCCAUUUCAUGUCAACUCCAACGACUUAUCUCCAUAACCCCAACUUCCUUUGAACCCCUCUUCUCCCUCCUCUCUUUAUGUAACAGAAAUCUCGAAUUUUCAGAUUUUUUUUAUCCGUUUCUCACCAGGAAAGAUUUGAAGAAACAAAACCAUUUCACCAAAUUGCUUUAAAUGGGAUACCUUUCUUGUAAGGCAGAAUCAGCUAUUGCCAUCUCCAGCACAACUUGUCAAUUUACUUCCAAAACCGCCCAAAACAAAGUAGAAAAGCCCAUCAAGAUCCAGCAGUUUCACUACAGUGAUCUUGAGGCAGCUACCAAUGGUUUUUCUGACCAGAAACUCCUAGGCAGAGGCAGCCAUGGCUGUGUCUACAA